AUGAACGCUAGCGACAGGCUUAACACAUGCAAGUCGAGGGGCAGCACAGGUAGCAAUACCGGGUGGCGACCGGCGCACGGGUGAGUAACGCGUAUGCAACUUGCCUAUCAGAGGGGGAUAACCCGGCGAAAGUCGGACUAAUACCGCAUGAAGCAGGGAUCCCGCAUGGGAAUAUUUGCUAAAGAUUCAUCGCUGAUAGAUAGGCAUGCGUUCCAUUAGGCAGUUGGCGGGGUAACGGCCCACCAAACCGACGAUGGAUAGGGGUUCUGAGAGGAAGGUCCCCCACAUUGGUACUGAGACACGGACCAAACUCCUAUGGGAGGCAGCAGUGAGGAAUAUUGGUCAAUGGCCGAGAGGCUGAACCAGCCAAGUCGCGUGAGGGAUGAAGGUUCUAUGGAUCGUAAACCUCUUUUAUAAGGGAAUAAAGUGCGGGACGUGUCCCGUUUUGUAUGUACCUUAUGAAUAAGGAUCGGCUAACUCCGUGCCAGCAGCCGCGGUAAUACGGAGGAUCCGAGCGUUAUCCGGAUUUAUUGGGUUUAAAGGGUGCGUAGGCGGCCUUUUAAGUCAGCGGUGAAAGUCUGUGGCUCAACCAUAGAAUUGCCGUUGAAACUGGGGGGCUUGAGUAUGUUUGAGGCAGGCGGAAUGCGUGGUGUAGCGGUGAAAUGCAUAGAUAUCACGCAGAACCCCGAUUGCGAAGGCAGCCUGCCAAGCCAUGACUGACGCUGAUGCACGAAAGCGUGGGGAUCAAACAGGAUUAGAUACCCUGGUAGUCCACGCAGUAAACGAUGAUCACUAGCUGUUUGCGAUACACUGUAAGCGGCACAGCGAAAGCGUUAAGUGAUCCACCUGGGGAGUACGCCGGCAACGGUGAAACUCAAAGGAAUUGACGGGGGCCCGCACAAGCGGAGGAACAUGUGGUUUAAUUCGAUGAUACGCGAGGAACCUUACCCGGGUUUGAACGCAUUCGGACCGAGGUGGAAACACCUUUUCUAGCAAUAGCCGUUUGCGAGGUGCUGCAUGGUUGUCGUCAGCUCGUGCCGUGAGGUGUCGGCUUAAGUGCCAUAACGAGCGCAACCCUUGCCACUAGUUACUAACAGGUGAUGCUGAGGACUCUGGUGGGACUGCCAGCGUAAGCUGCGAGGAAGGCGGGGAUGACGUCAAAUCAGCACGGCCCUUACAUCCGGGGCGACACACGUGUUACAAUGGCGUGGACAAAGGGAGGCCACCUGGCGACAGGGAGCGAAUCCCCAAACCACGUCUCAGUUCGGAUCGGAGUCUGCAACCCGACUCCGUGAAGCUGGAUUCGCUAGUAAUCGCGCAUCAGCCAUGGCGCGGUGAAUACGUUCCCGGGCCUUGUACACACCGCCCGUCAAGCCAUGGGAGCCGGGGGUACCUGAAGUCCGUAACCGCGAGGAUCGGCCUAGGGUAAAACUGGUGACUGGGGCU
rnacentral:rRNA from 1 species